AUUGAACGCUGGCGGCAGGCCUAACACAUGCAAGUCGAGCGGAUGACGGGAGCUUGCUCCUUGAUUCAGCGGCGGACGGGUGAGUAAUGCCUAGGAAUCUGCCUGGUAGUGGGGGACAACGUUUCGAAAGGAACGCUAAUACCGCAUACGUCCUACGGGAGAAAGCAGGGGACCUUCGGGCCUUGCGCUAUCAGAUGAGCCUAGGUCGGAUUAGCUAGUAGGUGAGGUAAUGGCUCACCUAGGCGACGAUCCGUAACUGGUCUGAGAGGAUGAUCAGUCACACUGGAACUGAGACACGGUUCAGACUCCUACGGGAGGCAGCAGUGGGGAAUAUUGGACAAUGGGCGAAAGCCUGAUCCAGCCAUGCCGCGUGUGUGAAGAAGGUCUUCGGAUUGUAAAGCACUUUAAGUUGGGAGGAAGGGCAGUAAGCGAAUACCUUGCUGUUUUGACGUUACCGACAGAAUAAGCACCGGCUAACUCUGUGCCAGCAGCCGCGGUAACAC
rnacentral:rRNA from 1 species